rnacentral:rRNA from 1 species
CCUACGGGGGGCAGCAGUGAGGAAUAUUGGUCAAUGGCCGAGAGGCUGAACCAGCCAAGUCGCGUGAGGGAAGAAUGUCCUAUGGAUUGUAAACCUCUUUUGUCAGGGAGCAAAGUCACCCACGUGUGGGUGUUGGAGAGUACCUGAAGAAAAAGCAUCGGUUAACUCCGUGCCAGCAGCCGCGGUAAUACGGAGGCUGCGAGCGUUAUCCGGAUUUAUUGGGUUUAAAGGGUGCGUAGGCGGGUUAUCAAGUCAGCGGUAAAAUCGUGGAGCUCAACUCCAUCCUGCCGUUGAAACUGAUGUUCUUGAGUGGGCGAGAAGUAUGCGGAAUGCGUGGUGUAGCGGUGAAAUGCAUAGAUAUCACGCAGAACUCCGAUUGCGAAGGCAGCAUGCCGGCGCCCGACUGACGCUGAAGCACGAAAGCGUGGGUAUCGAACAGGAUUAGAUACCCCUGUAGUC